rnacentral:tRNA from 1 species
AACAAAAUAGCUUAAUAGUUUUAAAGCAUAGCACUGAAGAUGCUAAGAUAGAACAUUUGUUCAAGAUGUAU